AGAACGAACGCUGGCGGCAUGCCUAACACAUGCAAGUCGAACGCGUGGAGCAAUCCACGAGUGGCGCACGGGUGAGUAACGCGUGGGAACCUGUCCUGGAGUGGGGGAUAACCGAGGGAAACCUCGGCUAAUACCGCAUACGUCCUGAGGGAGAAAGAUUUAUCGCUCUAGGAGGGGCCCGCGUCGGAUUAGCUAGUUGGUGGGGUAACGGCCUACCAAGGCGAUGAUCCGUAGCUGGUCUGAGAGGAUGAUCAGCCACACUGGGACUGAGACACGGCCCAGACUCCUACGGGAGGCAGCAGUGGGGAAUAUUGGACAAUGGGCGCAAGCCUGAUCCAGCAAUGCCGCGUGAGUGAUGAAGGCCUUAGGGUUGUAAAGCUCUUUCGGCGGGGACGAUGAUGACGGUACCCGCAGAAGAAGCCCCGGCUAACUUCGUGCCAGCAGCCGC
rnacentral:rRNA from 1 species